AGAGCAAGGGACCGGAGACACAGACUUCAGGGAGGAGGAGCCAAGUGAGAGGGGCCACAGGCUUGGAAGAGACAGGAUCAGGAUCAAGAGUGAUCACUCAGAACUUGACACCAGGCAGCAUUUCAGGGUCCCAAAGAAGAAAACUGUCAGGUCGGCGCGCCCUUACCGAGACACACGAACAACACCGACUUGGACCCAACCUCUGCCAUCUUCCCGUGCAGACCCCGGCGCCCAGAGA